rfam:Heligmosomoides polygyrus genome assembly, scaffold: HPBE_scaffold0002602
GCGCCGGUGGUGUAAUGGCGUAGAGCAUUCCCGCCCGGCUAGAGGGAGGUGCGGGUUCGAGUCCCGCCUGGCGCU